GCCGCGGUAGCUCAGUGGUAGAGCGCACCCUUGGUAAGGGUGAGGUCGAGAGUUCAAUCCUCUCCCGUGGCACCA
rnacentral:tRNA from 6 species